UUCGCAAUGCCCGAAAGGGUGACGAAGCGACGCCGCGUGAGCGAAGAAGGCCUUAGGGUUGUAAAGCUCUGUCAGGGGUUAAGAAAUGCAGGCAGGUUAAUAACCUGUUUGUUUGACAAAGGCCCCAAAGGAAGCCACGGCUAACUCUGUGCCAGCAGCCGCGGUAAUACAGAGGUGGCGAGCGUUGUUCGGUAUUAUUGGGCGUAAAGAGCACGUAGGUGGUUUUGUAAGUCAGUUGUGAAAGCCUUCUGUUCAAAGGAAGAACGGCAUCUGAAACUACAGAUCUUGAGUGUAGGAGGGGAGAGUGGAACUUCUGGUGGAGCGGUGAAAUGCGUAGAUAUCAGAAGGAACGUCGGCGGCGAAAGCGACUCUCUGGCCUAUUACUGACACUGAGUGUGCGAAAGUUAGGGGAGCAAACGGGAUUAGAUACCCCGGUAGUCCUAACCGUAAACGAUGGGCACUAAGUAGAGGGGUUUU
rnacentral:rRNA from 1 species